rnacentral:rRNA from 2 species
GAGUUUGAUCAUGGCUCAGAUUGAACGCUGGCGGCAUGCCUUACACAUGCAAGUCGAACGGUAACAGGUUAAGCUGACGAGUGGCGAACGGGUGAGUAAUACAUCGGAACGUGCCCGAUCGUGGGGGAUAACGCAGCGAAAGCUGUGCUAAUACCGCAUACGAUCUACGGAUGAAAGCAGGGGAUCGCAAGACCUUGCGCGGACGGAGCGGCCGAUGGCAGAUUAGGUAGUUGGUGAGGUAAAGGCUCACCAAGCCUUCGAUCUGUAGCUGGUCUGAGAGGACGACCAGCCACACUGGGACUGAGACACGGCCCAGACUCCUACGGGAGGCAGCAGUGGGGAAUUUUGGACAAUGGGCGCAAGCCUGAUCCAGCCAUGCCGCGUGCAGGAUGAAGGCCUUCGGGUUGUAAACUGCUUUUGUACGGAACGAAAAGGUUCUCUCUAAUACAGGGGGCUCAUGACGGUACCGUAAGAAUAAGCACCGGCUAACUACGUGCCAGCAGCCGCGGUAAUACG